GACGAACGCUGGCGGCGUGCUUAACACAUGCAAGUCGAACGGAAAGGCCCUGCUUUUGUGGGGUGCUCGAGUGGCGAACGGGUGAGUAACACGUGAGUAACCUGCCCUUGACUUUGGGAUAACUUCAGGAAACUGGGGCUAAUACCGGAUAGGAGCUCCUGCUGCAUGGUGGGGGUUGGAAAGUUUCGGCGGUUGGGGAUGGACUCGCGGCUUAUCAGCUUGUUGGUGGGGUAGUGGCUUACCAAGGCUUUGACGGGUAGCCGGCCUGAGAGGGUGACCGGCCACAUUGGGACUGAGAUACGGCCCAGACUCCUACGGGAGGCAGCAGUGGGGAAUAUUGCACAAUGGGCGGAAGCCGGAUGCAGCAACGCCGCGUGCGGGAUGACGGCCUUCGGGUUGGAAACCGCUUUCGCCUGUGACGAAGCGUGAGUGACGGUAAUGGGCAAAGAAGCACCGGCUAAUUACGU
rnacentral:rRNA from 1 species